rnacentral:rRNA from 1 species
CAAAUUUAUCACACCAUUGUUAAUGCAUUAGACCCAGCAGAACUCUGCAGUUAGUUAUGUUUGGGUGAGAGCAGUACUAGGAUGGGUGAUUUUCGGGGAAGUCGUAGUGUUCAUCUUU